rnacentral:rRNA from 1 species
GGGCGUAAAGCGUACGCAGGCGGUUUGUUAAGCGAGAUGUGAAAGCCCCGGGCUUAACCUGGGAACUGCAUUUCGAACUGGCAGACUAGAGUGUGAUAGAGGGUGGUAGAAUUUCAGGUGUAGCGGUGAAAUGCGUAGAGAUCUGAAGGAAUACCGAUGGCGAAGGCAGCCACCUGGGUCAACACUGACGCUCAUGUACGAAAGCGUGGGGAGCAAACAGGAUUAGAUAC